GUCCGUAACUACAAGGUUCUCUAGGAUGUAUUCAAACAAGCUGUCGAUAAGAAAGAUGGAGAUUUUGAUGAUAAAUCAUAUGACAGGUUCUCCAAUCUCCCAACUGCGAAAGAUGUGCACAUAAUUGAAUACUAGGAUCUUCCCCAAGCAUAUGUGGUUAGUUAGCAUAAAUUUCAGGUGAUCCUCCUGCUAGAUAGGUCCAAUUGUUCCGUUAAUUUUCAUUCUCUAUCCUCCAUCUGGUAGCAAGUACUUGGCAUUUAUAGACUUUCUCUUUGCUCAGGCUGUAUGCUCUUCUUUACUGAAGUGGGAGAAAUACGGUUCUCAGAUAAACUUCGAUGUUUAAUACACUGCUCUUAUAUUUCAUCGAUAAAUACACCAAGAUUUGUAUUUUUGUGUCCUGUAACUAACAUUAUGAUGGCACUGUCAGAUCCAUGCCUCCUCGCACACUCACCGAGACAUCUUCGCAGUACGUACACAGUUUCAGUGUCCAAACUCAUAUUUUAGGUCUCUUUUGCUAAAAUCUUCUUGGUUCUCAGCACUGGUACUACAAAGCAUAAUCCAGUUUAGUGUAAGUUUCUACUAUUUUCAAGUAAUUUGAUCCCAUGAA